rnacentral:tRNA from 1 species
GGUAAUGUAGCACAGUGGUAGAGCUUUUGCCUAGCAUGCACCAGGCCCUGGGUUCAAUCCCUAGUACUGCCC